CGUGCCAGAAGUGUGAUACUGUCAUUAACAUAGAAAAUUAUUGUGCUUGUUAUAAGCUUAAGAGUUCAGAGAGAGCUAAUUAAAAAUUACUAAAACAAAACAAACAAAUCCUGCCAUAUUCACUAGCCGUCACAUUGAGAGUGCCAUGGAACCUCUCAGAACUCCAUCAGCGAUGGCCAAUUCAUCAGCGUUUGUGUUCUUGUCAAAGCAGUAUGCAGGGACUUGCCAUUCUGCAUCCUCAAGCGCAGCACCCACUUCAAACGUCAUCACAUGGGCCUCCCUCCCGGUGUAGAAGACCCAGUGAACGGGCCUCUUAGUCACAACAUCUUCAUAGUACCAAACGAAAUCCACCUUCUGCCACACAUUGCAAAGAAAUCCAUCAACGUGUUUCUGACCAAGAUACGUGGCUCCAUCCAGCCAAUUAGGGCGGAGUAUCCCAACCUCCAACUGGGCAGAGGAACACUCCUUAUUGAAGUCCAAAGUGUAAAAGAAGGUAGUGCCGUUGUUCCACUCGAGGUCGUAGAGUAGCUUCCCCAGCUGGUGCUGGAUGAUGUUGAAGUUUCUUCCGUUGGGCCAAUCGUACCAGAGAUCGAUCUUUUGGAGGAUCCCGCUGUAAUUCAUAAACAGAAUGGCGUGGAAUUGGUGCGGCCAUGGAGUUGGAGUAGGUUCUCCUUCCGUGGAUGAUCUGGUCAACGACGACAAGGAGAAGAAGAUGAGGAAGAUACAGAGACAGCUAGAGGCAGUGGCGGUGGAGAUGAGUUUGGCUGCCAGGAAGGCCAUUUGUUGUAGAUGCUUUGCCGCUGCUGCUUCCGUUUGCCAACGCGUGGCACUUAUCAUUACUG
rnacentral:misc_RNA from 1 species